GUAAAUGCAUGGAACAGAAUAAGAUUUUUCGAGAACCAUACAACAGAGAGCCGUCGGGUGGUGCGAGACGGUGUGUGACUCGGGAGACCAUCCUCUGUGAGCAGUACAUUGAAUUUCUGAUUUUGAGAAUCAGAACAGUAGGUGUUACCGGUUUUCUACCGUUAUCAGGAAGCUUAUUUCUGCAAUUGCUAUAUUGCAUAGAUGAGACAGAGAGGUCGUUAAGAUACGACAAAUAAAGUGGUAACGCGGAAGCAAAAGCCUUCGUCUUUAUG
rnacentral:ncRNA from 1 species